rnacentral:rRNA from 1 species
UACCUGCAGCUCGAGUGGUGAUCGGUUAUUAUUGGGCCUAAAACGUCCGUAGCCGGUCUUAUAAAUGCCUGGGUAAAUCGUAUGGCUUAACCAUACGAAUUCCGGGUAGACUGUUUGACUUGAGACCGGGAGAAGCUAGAGGUACUCCUUGGGUAGAGGUGAAAUUCUGUAAUCCUAGGGGGACCACCAGUGGCGAAGGCGUCUAGCUAGAACGGGUCUGACGGUGAGGGACGAAGCCCUGGGGCGCAAACGGGGAUUAGAUACCCCGGUAGUCCAGGGUGUAAACGCUGCUUGCUUGAUGUUAGUCUGGCUCCGAGCCAGAUUAGUGUCGGAGAGAAGUUGUUAAGCAAGCUGCCUGGGAAAUACGGCCGCAAGACUGAAACUUAAAGGAAUUGGGCGGGGGAGCACAGCAACGGGUGGAGCGUGCGGUUU